AGGAUAAUAGUUAAAAAUAACGUUUAAUUUGCACUUAAAAAAUAUUGAUUCCUCAAUUUAUCUUA
rnacentral:tRNA from 1 species